rnacentral:sRNA from 1 species
CUUCUGCAGACUAAAUGAGGGCAGUGAUUGGCUCGUUUACUCUGCCUACCUUCCCAAGUAACUCUGUGUAACCUCUUGGUUCCCUUGAAGGGUGAUUCGUCAACCCGUGGGCAGGAUUUUCUUUGCGGGCACAGAGACUGCCACAAAGUGGAGCGGCUACAUGGAAGGGGCAGUUGAGGCUGGAGAACGAGCAGCUAGGGAGGUCUUAAAUGGUCUUGGGAAGGUGACCGAGAAAGACAUCUGGGUACAAGAACCUGAAUCAAAGGACGUUCCAGCGGUAGAAAUCACCCACACCUUCUGGGAAAGGAACCUGCCCUCCGUUUCUGGCCUGCUGAAGAUCAUUGGAUUUUCCACAUCAGUUACUGCCCUGGGGUUUGUGCUGUACAAAUACAAGCUCCUGCCACGGUCUUGAAGUUCUGUUCUUAUGCUCUCUGCUCACUGGUUUUCAAUACCACCAAGAGGAAAAUAUUGACAAGUUUAAAGGCUGUGUCAUUGGGCCAUGUUUAAGUGUACUGGAUUUAACUACCUUUGGCUUAAUUCCAAUCAUUGUUAAAGUA